rnacentral:rRNA from 1 species
CCUACCAAGGCGAUGACGGGUAGCCGGCCUGAGAGGGCGACCGGCCACACUGGGACUGAGACACGGCCCAGACUCCUGCGGGAGGCAGCAGUGGGGAAUAUUGCGCAAUGGGCGGAAGCCUGACGCAGCGACGCCGCGUGGGGGAUGAAGGCCUUCGGGUUGUAAACCCCUUUUACCACUCACGAAGCCCCUGGUUUUCUGGGGGUUGACGGUAGGUGGUGAAUAAGGACCGCUAACUACGUGCAGCAGCCGCGUAAUACGUAGGGUCCGAGCGUUGUCCGGAAUUAUUGGGCGUAAAGAGCUCGUAGGCGGCCUGUCGCGGUCUGCUGUGAAAGUCCGGGGCUUAACUCCGGGUGUGCAGUGGAUACGGGCAGCUUGAGGUGAGGUAGGGGAGACUGGAUCAUUCCUGGUGUAGCUGGUGAAAUGCGCAGAUAUCAGGAGGAACACCGGUGCGAAGGCGGGUCUCUGGGCCUUACCUGACGCUGAGGAGCGAAAGCGUGGGGAGCGAACAGGGGGAUUAGAUACCCUGGUAGUCCACCCGUAAACGUUGGGCGCUAGGUGUGGGGACUUUCCACGGUUCCCUCCGUGCCGUAGCUAACGCAUUAAGCGCCCGUUUCCUGGGGAGUACGGCCGCAAGGCUAAAACUCAAAGGAAUUGACGGGCGGCCCGCACAAGCGCGGAGACAUGUUGCUUAAAUUCGACGCAACGAAACGAAGAACCUUACCAAGCUUGACAUCACCGGUAAUCCUCCAGAGAUGGGGGGUCCUUCGUGGGAUCGGUGACAGGUGGUGCAUGGCUGUCGUCAGCUCGUGUCGUGAGAUGUUGGGUUAAGUCCCGCAACGAGCGCAACCACCUGUCCCAUGUUGCCAGCACGUGGUGGUGGGGACUAUGGGAGCUGCCGGGGUCAACUCGGAGGAAGGUGGGGAUGCGUCAAGUCAUCAUGCCCCUUAUGCCUUGGGCUGCAAACAUGCUACAAUGGCCGGUACAGAGGGCGUGCGAUGUCGUGAGGCGGAGCGAAUCUCUUAAAGCCGGUCUCAGUUCGGAUUGGGGUCUGCAACUCGACCCCAUGAAGGUGGAGUCGCUAGUAAUCGCGGAUCAGCAACGCCGCGGUGAAUACGUUCCCGGGCCUUGUACACACCGCCCGUCACGUCACGAA